rnacentral:rRNA from 1 species
UAACCGGAGUAGUGCAUUGGAAACUGUGUUUCUUGAGUGCAGAAGAGGAGAGUGGAACUCCAUGUGUAGCGGUGGAAUGCGUAGAUAUAUGGAAGAACACCAGUGGCGAAGGCGGCUCUCUGGUCUGUAACUGACGCUGAGGCUCGAAAGCAUGGGUAGCGAACAG